rnacentral:rRNA from 1 species
GAUUAACGCUAGCGGCAGGCCUAAUACAUGCAAGUCGAACGGCAGCACGGGUAGCAAUACCUGGUGGCGAGUGGCGCACGGGUGCGUAACGCGUAUGCAAUCUACCUGUAACUGGGGAAUAGCCUUCCGAAAGGAAGAUUAAAACCGCAUAAUAUCACGAGACGGCAUCGUUUUGUGAUCAAAUCUCCGGAGGUUACAGAUGAGCAUGCGUGACAUUAGCAGUUGGUGAGGUAACGGCUCACCAAGGCGACGAUGUCUAGGGGGUCUGAGAGGAUGAUCAGCCACAUUGGGACUGAGACACGGCCCAAACUCCUACGGGAGGCAGCAGUGGGGAAUAUUGGACAAUGGGCGCAAGCCUGAUCCAGCCAUGCCGCGUGAGUGAUGGAAGGCCCUAGGGUUGUAAAGCUUCUUUUGUGCGGGAAGAUAAUGACGGUACCG